rnacentral:rRNA from 1 species
UACGGAGGGCGCGAGCGUUAAUCGGAAUUACUGGGCGUAAAGCGCGCGUAGGCUGUUGUGUAAGUUGGGGGUGAAGUCCCACGGCUCAACCGUGGAACAGCCCUUGAUACUGCGCGACUUGAAUCCGGGAGAGGGUGGCGGAAUUCCAGGUGUAGGAGUGAAAUCCGUAGAUAUCUGGAGGAACAUCAGUGGCGAAGGCGGCCACCUGGACCGGUAUUGACGCUGAGGCGCGAAAGCGUGGGGAGCAAACAGG